CCUACGGGUGGCUGCAGUGGGGAAUAUUGCACAAUGGGGGAAACCCUGAUGCAGCAACGCCGCGUGAGUGAAGAAGGUUUUCGGAUUGUAAAGCUCUGUUAGCAGGGAAGAGGAAGGACGGUACCUGCAGAGGAAGCCACGGCUAACUACGUGCCAGCAGCCGCGGUAAUACGUAGGUGGCAAGCGUGGUUCGGAAUAACUGGGCGUAAAGGAUGCGUAGGCGGUGAAACAAGUUAUUUGUUAAAUCUAAGGGCUCAACCUGGGGAAAGCAUAUAAAACUGUUUAACUAGAGUGCGGGAGAGGUAAGUGGAAUUCCUGGUGUAGCGGUGAAAUGCGUAGAGAUUAGGAAGAACACCAGUGGCGAAGGCGACUUACUGGACUGUAACUGACGCUGAGGCAUGAGAGCGUGGGGAGCAAACAGGAUUAGAUACCCUUGUAGUC
rnacentral:rRNA from 1 species